rnacentral:ncRNA from 1 species
CUCGAUAAAGGCAAACCCAGGGUGACCUGGGGGCGCAAAGUGUAGGGUCUUUAGAGAUAAAGACAGCCUUACUGCCGAAA